rnacentral:misc_RNA from 1 species
GAAAUGCGAUAAGUAAUGUGAAUUGCAGAAUUCCGUGAAUCAUCUAAUCUUUGAACGCACAUUGCGCCCUCUGGUAUUCCGGGGGGCAUGCCUGUCCGAGCGUCAUUGCGAACCCCUCAAGCACGGCUUGUGUGAUGGGCCCUCCCGCGUCUUGGUCGUCAAGACGGGCCCGAAAAGCAGUGGCGGCUUCGCGGUUAUCCGAUCAGCCAGAGCGUAUGGGGACUUUCUCUCUGUCACACGCCCGCGGCGCGGACCGACACCUGUCGACCUUUAUUCAUCUUUUUCUCGGUUGACCUCGGAUCAGGUAGGGAUACCCGCUGAACUUAAGC